rnacentral:lncRNA from 1 species
UACCUCUUUUCUUUUGUUGUUAUGUUCUUUGAAAUAAGAGUAUUGAGAGUUUUUGAAUAUUGUGAAGUGAAUCAUGGAAUGAAAGUGUGAAUGGAAUUAUAUGUUAUUGAAUGAGAAGAAGAGAGAUUGAAUGCUGAAAUCUGAAUGUAGUUCAGCAGAAAGAGUGAAUCUGUGGUUGUGUGAAACAUUGUAAUGUGAAUGGUAGUUCUGUGUGAAGAAUUCCAGUAAUUGGAAUGAGGGUAAUUGUGUGCUGAAGCUGUGAUGUUGAGGUAUUACAGUUGGAGAUUAUAAGAGUGAAGAUAUAUUGGUGGAAAUAACAGUUAUUGGUAUGACUGAAUUGUUGCAAGGAAGAGAGUGAUAAGGUGAAAGGAGAG